AGCGAACGUUUGCGGCGGGCUUAACACAUGCAAGUCGAACGAGAAUCCCUUCGGGAGUGAGUACAGCGGCGAACGGGUGAGUAACACGUGGGCAACCUACCCAGGGGAGCGGGACAACCCGGGGAAACCCGGGCUAAUACCGCAUAACGCGUCAUGUCAUAAGGCGUGACGCCCAAAGGUAGCUUCGGCCUCCGCCCUCGGAUGGGCCCGCGGCGCAUUAGCUUGUUGGUGGGGUAACGGCCUACCAAGGCGACGAUGCGUAGCUGGUCUGAGAGGACGAUCAGCCACACUGGGACUGAGACACGGCCCAGACUCCUACGGGAGGCAGCAGUGGGGAAUCUUGCGCAAUGGGCGAAAGCCUGACGCAGCAACGCCGCGUGGGGGAAGAAGGCUUUCGGGUUGUAAACCUCUUUCAGGAGGGACGAAGCUUCCGGGGUUAAUAGCCUACGGGGUGACGGUACCUCCAGAAGAAGCCCCGGCUAACUACGUGCCAGCCGCCGCAGUAA
rnacentral:rRNA from 1 species